rnacentral:rRNA from 1 species
AGCGUAGACGGACUGGCAAGUCUGAUGUGAAAGGCGGGGGCUCAACCCCUGGACUGCAUUGGAAACUGUUAGUCUUGAGUGCCGGAGAGGUAAGCGGGAUUCCUAGUGUAGCGGUGAAAUGCGUAGAUAUUAGGAGGAACACCAGUGGCGAAGGCGGCUUACUGGACGGUAACUGACGUUGAGGCUCGAAAGCGUGGGGAGCAAACA